GACAGAGGUGCCGAGCGUUAGGCGGAAUCACUGGGCUUAAAGCGUGUGUAGGCGGAUCUGUAAGUACCUUGUGAAAUCCCACGGCUCAACCGUGGAACUGCUUGGUAUACUGCGGGUCUUGAGCCACCUAGGGGCAAGUGGAACAAACGGUGGAGCGGUGAAAUGCGUAGAUAUCGUUUGGAACGCCAAUGGUGAAGACAACUUGCUGGGGGUGUGCUGACGCUGAGACACGAAAGCCAGGGGAGCAAACGGG
rnacentral:rRNA from 1 species